AGAGUUUGAUCCUGGCUCAGGACGAACGCUGGCGGCGUGCUUAACACAUGCAAGUCGAACGGAAAGGCCCCUUCGGGGGUGCUCGAGUGGCGAACGGGUGAGUAACACGUGGGUGAUCUGCCUCGCACUCUGGGAUAAGCCUGGGAAACUGGGUCUAAUACUGGAUAGGACCGCGCUUUAGUGUGUGUGGUGGAAAGUUUUUCGGUACGAGAUGAGCCCGCGGCCUAUCAGCUUGUUGGUGGGGUAAUGGCCUACCAAGGCGUCGACGGGUAGCCGGCCUGAGAGGGUGGACGGCCACAUUGGGACUGAGAUACGGCCCAGACUCCUACGGGAGGCAGCAGUGGGGAAUAUUGCACAAUGGGCGCAAGCCUGAUGCAGCGACGCCGCGUGAGGGAUGACGGCCUUCGGGUUGUAAACCUCUUUCGACAGGGACGAAGCUUUUGUGACGGUACCUGUAUAAGAAGCACCGGCUAACUACGUGCCAGCAGCCGCGGUAAUACGUAGGGUGCGAGCGUUGUCCGGAAUUACUGGGCGUAAAGAGCUCGUAGGUGGUUUGUCGCGUCGUCUGUGAAAUUCCGGGGCUUAACUCCGGGCGUGCAGGCGAUACGGGCAUAACUUGAGUGCUGUAGGGGAGACUGGAAUUCCUGGUGUAGCGGUGGAAUGCGCAGAUAUCAGGAGGAACACCGAUGGCGAAGGCAGGUCUCUGGGCAGUAACUGACGCUGAGGAGCGAAAGCAUGGGGAGCGAACAGGAUUAGAUACCCUGGUAGUCCAUGCCGUAAACGGUGGGCGCUAGGUGUGAGGGUCUUCCACGACUUUCGUGCCGUAGCUAACGCAUUAAGCGCCCCGCCUGGGGAGUACGGCCGCAAGGCUAAAACUCAAAGGAAUUGACGGGGGCCCGCACAAGCGGCGGAGCAUGUGGAUUAAUUCGAUGCAACGCGAAGAACCUUACCUGGGCUUGACAUAUACAAGAUCGGCGUAGAGAUACGUUUUCCCUUGUGGUUUGUAUACAGGUGGUGCAUGGUUGUCGUCAGCUCGUGUCGUGAGAUGUUGGGUUAAGUCCCGCAACGAGCGCAACCCUUGUCUUAUGUUGCCAGCACGUGAUGGUGGGGACUCAUGAGAGACUGCCGGGGUUAACUCGGAGGAAGGUGGGGAUGACGUCAAAUCAUCAUGCCCCUUAUGUCCAGGGCUUCACACAUGCUACAAUGGUCGGUACAACGCGUUGCGAGCCUGUGAGGGUGAGCGAAUCGCUGAAAGCCGGCCUCAGUUCGGAUUGGGGUCUGCAACUCGACCCCAUGAAGUCGGAGUCGCUAGUAAUCGCAGAUCAGCAACGCUGCGGUGAAUACGUUCCCGGGCCUUGUACACACCGCCCGUCACGUCAUGAAAGUUGGUAACACCCGAAGCCCAUGGCCCAACCAGUUUCUGGGGGGAGUGGUCGAAGGUGGGAUCGGCGAUUGGGACGAAGUCGUAACAAGGUAGCCGUACCGGAAGGUGCGGCUGGAUCACCU
rnacentral:rRNA from 1 species